rnacentral:lncRNA from 1 species
CGAAGGUUGGCGAAGGGUCUGACCCCUAACCCACUCGGACUUGUCUACCACAGGUGAAGUCUUGAGGAGAGAUGCAGAGGCCAUUUUUCUGUUUUCAAUACGUUUCUCUUAUCUCUCCCCCUCAAGCUUUUUCAACACGAACUUUUUGGCUCUAAUUCUUCAAUUUAUAGUUCCCAGUCCUUACCAAGAGAUAUCUUGUUUGAGGCUGCAAUGCAUAGGCCAAUCAUCAACUGACAUGAGGGAUGCUUGCUUGGCAAGUUGGUAUUGGCAUAGGUGUGGCUGAUAUGAGGUGGGGGAGCUUAAGUAUAUACCUGUGGAAAUCUUUGUCUUGAAAUAAAAGGUUGAAUUUUCAGAAAUUUGUAAAACCAGAAAAGCUUGAUCUUUUUGGAGCUGAUUGAUCUCUUUUUGUUGUUUUUCUUUUCUUUUGACCUUGCUAGCUGGGGAGGAAAAUCACCCAAAAGGCAGGAUGCAGACAGCUAUUUGACUAUUUGAAGGGCUGGCAACAAUUUAGGAACAGGGUUUUUUUUUUUUUUUUGGUCCUUCUAAAAAAAGUUGAGGCUAUGAAGGAAUUUGUUUCUCUGCUCAAAACCAAUUUGAUGCAUUCAUUAGCUUUCAUCAGACUCAACUAUGAGUAUGAAAUCAAGUUAAGAAUCUCCUGCAAACAUACCAAUU